GCUUGCUCCUAUUUCUCAGCGGCGGACGGGUGAGUAACACGUGGGCAACCUGCCCUGCAGACUGGGAUAACUCCGGGAAACCGGAGCUAAUACCGGGUAAUACAUAGCAUCGCAUGAUGCAACGUUGAAAGUUGGCUUUCGAGCUAACACUGUAGGAUGGGCCCGCGGCGCAUUAGCUAGUUGGUAAGGUAAUGGCUUACCAAGGCAACGAUGCGUAGCCAACCUGAGAGGGUGAUCGGCCACACUGGGACUGAGACACGGCCCAGACUCCUACGGGAGGCAGCAGUAGGGAAUCUUCCGCAAUGGACGAAAGUCUGACGGAGCAACGCCGCGUGAGUGACGAAGGCCUUCGGGUCGUAAAGCUCUGUUGUUAGGGAAGAACAAGUACCGUUCGAAUAGGGCGGUACCUUGACGGUACCUAACCAGAAAGCCACGGCUAACUACGUGCCAGCAGCCGCGGUAAUACGUAGGUGGCAAGCGUUGUCCGGAAUUAUUGGGCGUAAAGCGCGCGCAGGCGGUCUCUUAAGUCUGAUGUGAAAGCCCACGGCUCAACCGUGGAGGGCCAUUGGAAACUGGGGGACUUGAGUGCAGAAGAGGAGAGUGGAAUUCCACGUGUAGCGGUGAAAUGCGUAGAUAUGUGGAGGAACACCAGUGGCGAAGGCGGCUCUCUGGUCUGUAACUGACGCUGAGGCGCGAAAGCGUGGGGAGCGAACAGGAUUAGAUACCCUGGUAGUCCACGCCGUAAACGAUGAGUGCUAGGUGUUGGGGGGGUUCCACCCUCAGUGCUGAAGUUAACACAUUAAGCACUCCGCCUGGGGAGUACGACCGCAAGGUUGAAACUCAAAGGAAUUGACGGGGGCCCGCACAAGCAGUGGAGCAUGUGGUUUAAUU
rnacentral:rRNA from 1 species